CCAUAAAACCCACCAAUGGCCUAUUCCCUCCAUCGGGAAUCAGGAACCCCACAGAGGUUUUAACUUAAGGGCAGAUCCACAUACUCAUGCUAUAGAGGACAAUUUGGAGAUCAAGUCCAGACUCAAGAGGAAAGAGUGCUGAUUUGCACAGGCUGAGGCAGCUGUCACAGGACAGGUGAUGGCACUGGUGGCCCCCAGGAUGAAGUCUUAUUUCCUCAGCAUGUGACAGCCCCAACGGACUCCCUCAUUGCGGCUCUGGCUCCCUUGCCUCUAGCCUUAGCUGAGGACAUCUGUGGUUCCUGAAGGGUGACACAAGUUUUGAUUAAAACCCUCUCCUCCUCUCCUCUGCCAGCAGGCCAACGCCUACAACAAAAUAGAGAUGUCACCUCCCUUGACCCCAACCCACUGGCGGCCCUAUGCUCGCAGGACGUCCUGUAUCUGCCCCUAUCCUAGCAUGUACUUCACCCCAUUGUGGUCAUCUACAUGCCAGUCCGUUCUGCUAGUUUGGGAGCCCCUGGAGGGCAGGGGUGCCUCCUUUCUUUCCCCAGGCACCUGGUGUAGGCUUCCAUGAUACGUUACAUGUAAUUCUAUAACGGGACUUGCCAGAAUCUGCCUUAUUGUCCUCUCUGUACAAACCCUCUCUCUGUCUUGAAGGGCAAGGACCACAGACUGCACUCCGCGUGCUUUACACAUUUACGGUUGCUCAACAAAUUAAAGAGAGCCUAGGCCAUCCAAUUGUUCCUUAAACCUUCCCACCCCAUUAGCACCCAUCCUUGGUUCCCAAGGAGCAUUCCUAGAGGGACCCAUGGCUCUCUGCCAUAUUCCUUAAGUCCCAUCCUGUGGGACCAGGGGAUGCUCAACGACUUCUGGCGCAUGGUGCUGUUUGAGUAAACAGGUCUAGAUGUUGCUAUGAAGGUAUGUUUUAGAUGUGAUUAACAUUUCAAUCAGCAGACUCUGAGGAAAGCAGAUUACCCUCGGUAACACGGAUGGGCCUCAUCCAAUCAGUUGAAGGCCCUAAAAAAACCUGCAGUUCCCUGAGGAAGAAGGAAUUCUGCCUCCAGACCGCCUUUGAACUCAAGACUGCACCAUCAACUCUUCCCUGCAUCUCUAGCUGUCGGCUUGAUUUGAAACUUGCCAGCCACCACAGUCAAUUGACAAGCACGUUCUCCAGACUGUAAACCUCAGAAGACACGACCUGCCAGGGACAAAAAUUUAAGAGGUGUGGAAAAAAAACCCAAGUGAGACACUAUUCCAAAGAAUUCAGGUCUCCUGUGUCACAGGGGCCUUGCAAAGGUGAAACAGUGUCGGUAACCUUCAAGGCACACAAAGAGGUACCAGCAAAGUUGCCCUUCUGAUGUUCAGAAUGGUGCAGGUGAAGCUGCAAUCCAUAGCCUGGUGGAUUUUCGGUCCACGCCUGGCAAGAUGACUGAUCCGUCACAGGAUGGCUUUUCAACGGGGUUGAGAUUCACUACGAGCCACCACAUCUUUUUCAACAGAGAGCUUCAACAGCCACAAUACCUUGUCACUUCAGAGACACCUGGAUUUCUGCGGCUAUCUUUGUCCAUAAAUGAAUUAUGGCUAGGGCACAAGGACAAUUUAAUUAGCAGCUGAUCCGGGUUAUUGGGCUAUGUGCCAAACUUCAAACCAACUUCUUAGAGGACUCGCUAUCCUGGGUUCCCGCGGCCCAGAGGAGGAAAAAUCUGCCCCGCCACCCACACACUGAAAAGACGACGAAGCACGGGAAGACUCCCACCUCAAAUCACCCGAGUCCCCCGAGAUUCGCAUUUAUUCUCCAAUCUACAAGGGGAGAAGCACAAUCUGAGCAGGGCUCUUAGGCAGCCUUCAAGGCUAGGUGGCUGCUGACACACCAGAAUCGAGAUCCUCUUUUGUACAGAGAAAAAAAUGCUGAAAGACAAAGGCAGACACAGACAAAGCCCAAGAAAAUGUGUGUGGUUUGCGCCACCCCCCCUCCACCUCCCUGCCCUGCACACUCCAGGCCAGGCCGCUCCCGGUGUUUCAGGGAGGGGAGACCCUGCACUCAGACUGGCUCCUCUUCUGAUGCGACCUGCUUCGACAUGCUGUCGUCAUUCUAGCCAACGAGGAAGGCAGCAAGGCCACCUCAGCACGCGUCUGCUCCCUUCCCCGCUCCCCUGACAAGAGCUGGGCGGUCAGUCUACACACAUGGAAGACAGAGGGCACCAAAAAGCUCUGUGAAUAAAACUUUAAUAAUGUACAGCAGAAAUUGGACAGGCUCAUUCUUAUAUUAAAACAAAAGAUUUCCUAUAUUACAACUUAUUUACAUUUGCAUACUGAAGAGGUAAAGUGUCUAAGUGGCUAUUUUACAGUCCUUUCUAAUAAAAUGUACAAAAACAAACAGAAGUACCGAGAAUGCCGUUCGGGGGCCUUGAUGGCGACGUAAGAACGGGCUUUGACUUGGUCUGUGAAUCCAGAAUCCAGAGGUGUAGGUAGCCCUACGGAUCAGGGUUAGUUAGCCCCACGGGCCAAACACCGCGGCUUUAGGCUUUAGUUUCUCCCCAACUGUCUAACUCCUAACCCUUGGUGUUAAGAGUGAUGGGGACAGGGGUGGGAGCUUCCCAAAAAACUGCUCAGUCUUCCCCGAGGUGUGGUGAGGCCAGGAGGUCCCCCUAGGGAGCGGGCUAGAGGCUUGGGAGUCCCUGGGUCGAGGAGUGUUGGCAGAUCCCAGAGGCUGGUUGUGACCGGGGCACAGGAGUCUAAGUUCCAUUACCACCCACACCCUGCCUGGGUCUGCUGCAGAGCAGGUAGGUGGGGUGAGGUCAGCAGGGCUGGGGAAAGAAGGUCCCCCUAAUGACACCAUUGGUAUUCAAGGGAAAUUAGUCAGUAGCCAGCAAACUGGCCCAAAGGGUGAGGCGAAGAUCUCCUUUAACGCAAGGGAAGAAGCAACACGUCAGGAAAAUAAAUAGGAAGACCGGGAGCAUCUGGGAGACCCGUGUAAGCAGGGAGAGGCGUGCCCCUCCUCCACAAGCUUUGGCAGAGAAUCACUGGGCUGGAGGCAGGCAUGCUCUCAGGCUGCAGACAUCAUGUGCCUCCCCUGGGGGCAGGAAGGGGGCUCAGAAUGAAUGCAGUAAUUUAGGGUCUCACUGCCCACUGCAGGGCUCUUUGGGGGUAUGGAGGGAUCCUGGUCCUUGGUGGUCUUUUCUAAGAGCAAUCAUUCCAGGCUCAAAAGGCUCUCAGAACCAACGGUACAAACUUCUGGUCUUGAAACAGGCACCCACUAACUUGAAUCGGCAACUUCUUCAGUGUUCCAAGAGUAGGACCCAAGCCUGUCUUGCUCACAUACAUAUCCAAGUGCUCAGCACAGUGCCUGACACACAACAGGUACGCAGCAAACAUCUGUUGAGUAAAUGCCUGGAGGAGAAGGCGCGACCGGCUGGACAAUGCACAAAAGGCCAGGGCCCUGAAGCAAAAACCACUCACAGAAUUGAGGGGUGGGGGGCACAGUGCAAGAGAGACUAACCUCCAGGGCAAAGAGGGAGGGACUCUCGCUGCUCGGUGGGAACAGGCUCAGGUGCAAGGACAAACAUUUCCAGUGUGACUGAGCUAUGUGCGCUUGAUUGGAGCAUUUUUUUUUUUUGUGGUUGUUUUGUAGCAAUUUCUUUAAAAACAAAGAGGUAAUCAUCACAUAGAGAUGGUUUUCCUUUUAUAAAAACUUAACAAUAUUAAAAAAAGUUAAAAUUCAGACCCUUCCAAUAAAAUUAAAAAAAAAAGAAAAGAGAAAAGGAAAGGAAA